ensembl:lncRNA
UGUGUUGAAAUAAAACUCAGUAUUUCUCAUAGAAUGGUGAUUAAGUUCUCGGCAGAUCUUCUACCUUGCUACUGAAGAGGCUGCUAUACACUUGAACCAGUAGAAACACCAAAAACCAUCCAGAGCAUUUGAAACUCUGAUUUGUCAGCAGUUUCUCAUGCUCAAGGAGCAUCAAUAGAAGAAAUAUGGCCUCAAGCAGCUGGAAACUGGUAACAUUAUGCUUUGGGGCAAGACUGGUUCCUGAAGCUGGCUGAGAAAGGAUUCCCCAUGCCACUGCCUCUGUCAUACCCUUAAGGGAAGAAACAGUUCUGCUGACCUUCCGUUGAACAUCUUUCCACAACAAGUAUUGGUUUUAGGCCUUCUACUUUUUCUGAAUAGUGUAUCAGCAACCCACAGGAGAACAGGAGAGUGUGACAGGGCUUUGCUGUAAAAGGAUCAUUGUUUCAAGAGGUAUCAAUACAAGACCAUCAGCUCUCACAGACUUAAAUAAUUUUUUAAAAAUAAAGCCUAAGGAACAGCAGAGCAGUGAAACCAAGUCUCCAGACCUCACCCUGUGCUGUUGUUUCAGGCCUGACAUCUGCACGUGACCACUGGUCUCAGCCUCCUCUCUGGAGGGUGCUUCCCCCAGCACAGAGCAACCUUUGGUUUUCUAUCCAUUUCUCAGAAAAGAAAAACAAUUAAAAAUCAGCUUGUGAACUGAGGUGGGAUGGUGAAGGUUGGGACUGUCCGUACAGACUGGAACUGGAGCUGAAGGAGAGAGCCAAGAGAAGAGGAACCUUCUGUCAAGAUCAAAUCCAGCACUGGUCUUAUCUUUGGAAGUUCCUUGGUCUUUUAAAUCUGAGAUUUCAACAUAUUUCCAGCAAGGAGUAUGCAUUGAAAAUCUUUUCAUACCUCUUACAAAAAUACAGAGAUGUAUUUCAACUGCUGUCAUCCCUCUUAGCCUCCUGCAGACCAUCUGACCCAUCAGCUUGGCUUGCUACUGCUGCAAAACUGGGGUUUAACUUCAGGAAUGAACUUAGAGAUUGCUGUGGUUGCUACCUACUCAUGAUGGAGAAAGCAGGGCUAAAAUGCAGCUUGAAGGGAUACAGAAAGCUGGAGAGCCUGGUGGUAAUAAUUAGCAUCCCUUGAGGAGUGACUCCAUGUUCCUGAGCUGACCCCCAAGGUCUGGCUCUAACCCAACCUGAACAUCUCUAGGCCUCAGGAAUGACAUUUAAUUUUGAGAGCAUUUUGGCAGGCUUGGCAAGGUAAGAAAAAUGAAGCUCUCAUUAAAAAUAGGAAGGCAACAUGUUUUUUGGUUUGUAGUUUAAUAUUAUUGUUUCCAAGCAGCUUCUCAAGGAGUGACUUUGCUCUUGUACAACAAAAGCAUUCUUGCUUCUAGGCAUAGUAAAGCUUUGCAGGAAUAAAGCAAGAAAUGCUAUUUACAGUGAGCAGGAAGUCCCCAGACCCUUUACAGAAUAUAUGUGCAUAAUUUACUGAAAUAAUUUGAGUUUUUCAAGGUGGUCACUUUUCACAGUCUCAGCAGUCCCUCAAGGCAUAGAAAGAGCAGAAAUGCUCAAUAAAAACAAAACUUAAAAAAAAUAAAAAGGCUGAAAGGUGAAGAAAAUGAAAUAAGGCACAAAUGAAACACUACAUUAAUUAUCUUGGAAUGCCCUUUUAAUCCCUGUGCCUGGUUUGUGGGUACCUGCCCCAGAAUUACCUGCAUUCAUCAUCAAUGACAUUUGGCUGGCCAUGGGAAUUCUGGCUUUUCCUUCAUUACUGUACAUAAAAUAGACUCUUUGCUUUGUCUCCUGCUGCUUGUUACCUGAUUUGAUGGGGUAAUUUAUGAACACUUCUCUCGUUUUUUCUUUUCCUUGGAGAUAAAAUAUAAUGCUUGUCAAUGUUGUAGCUAGAACAGUAAGCACACAAUU